AAAAGUGUUUUAACUGGAUGAUGUAGACUUUCUGCUAGCAUUAGCUUUACAUCUUGUUUCAUUAUUUGUUUUGCCAGGUAUUAACUUCAUUAUUGCCUCUUGUAGGAAAAAAGGCUGAGAGUGAACAGGGGUUUGAAAAAGUUGCAUGAGAGAGUAAAGAAACAACAAGAGAAAGUGGAAGAGAAGAUUCAAACAGUAGUAAAGCAUCGAAAUAUUUGGGUGGAGAAUGAUGAUAGAUUGGUUGCUGGUUUCCUUGAGAUGUUUGAAGAGGGUUGCCACAAAAUGGUUAGAUCUCUCUGCCGCUUUUUCCAUCCCUCCUUCCUCCCAUGCUCUUCUCCUCUUGUUUCUAUCCAUUGUUCAAUCCCUUACAGUUUGCCAGGCUGAAAAAUUUUAGCACCUCGCGCACACAAAUCAUAUAUUUGCACUUCUGAUCAUGCAUAUUGGAUUUCAACAAGGAACUGUCAUAAGAGACCGAAUUCAAGAGCAGAUGAGGUCCAAGAGUAUAAAAGGGAUUCUAUAUGACAAAGAAGAGGAAGAUGAUGAAUAUGACUACUAUUACGGAAGCAGUGACGAUGAUGAAGAAUACUACGACGGUGAAGAUGAAGAAUAGGGUUCAUCACUUUAUCAUGUUAUGUGGUGAGUUUCUCAGUGUAAAAUGUAGUUUAUGGAUCAAGUUGUAUGAAGAUGUAUUAUGUCUAAUGGUUGGAUGCGCGUGCAAUAUGCGUGUUUUCUUUUGGUAGAAUGUAGUGGCAAUUAGUCGUGUUGUAAACCGUGAUCAAGCAUAGUCUUGUACCAUAACGCUGUCAAGCAGAGUGAUUUGUCUAAUAUGAGAUGAAUAAUCAUAUGUUCUUGAAAAUGCAACUUUAUUUCCCCCUU